AUUGAACGCUGGCGGCAGGCCUAACACAUGCAAGUCGAACGAGUGGCGGACGGGUGAGUAAGGUCUGGGAAACUGCCUGAUGGAGGGGGAUAACAACUGGAAACGGUAGCUAAUAACGCCUACCAUCAGAUGUGCCCAGAUGGGAUUAGCUAGGUGGGUGGGUAAAGGCUCACCAAGGCGACGAUCCCUAGCUGGUCUGAGAGGAUGACCAGCCACACGGGAACUGGGACACGGUCCAGACUCCUACGGGAGGCAGCAGUGGGGAAUAUUGCACAAUGGGCGCAAGCCUGAUGCAGCCAUGCGGCGUGUAUGAAGAAGGCCUUCGGGUUGUAAAGUACUUUCAGCGGGGAGGCGUUACCCGCAGAAGAAGCACCGGCUAACUCCGUGCCAGCAGCCGCGGUAAUUC
rnacentral:rRNA from 1 species